rnacentral:tRNA from 1 species
UAGAAGUUAGUUAAUCUUAUAACAUAUAUUUGUCAUAUUUAAAUUGUCUUUUAGACACUUCUUU